rnacentral:tRNA from 1 species
GCAAGUUAGUAUACACAAUACCCUUAACUUAGAAUUAAAUAACAGACUCAACCUCUACUUGCC